CUUGGGUUAUUAUGUCAUGUUGGUGGAGCACAUCCUCCAGGAGCUUCCGGAAAAAGAAAUUGAAGGGAAAUUUGUGGAGACCUUGCAUGCUGUAAAAUGCAAUUUCUACCUUCAAACUUGAUUGAUAAUCUAGAUAUGAAGAGAAUUAUAGAUUAGAAAUAUUUUCCAGCAAAUUUUUAAAUUUUUAAAGGCACUGCUCUUUUGUUUCGUUACUUGAAGUAUAAGAAUAUACCUCAGGAAGUGAAGGAAUGGGCUGCUGAGGGAAGAGCACUCCAGAUCAUGGAUGUCCAGUGCAAAGAGCCUGGGGUGGGGCAGAAGCAAGCCUGGCAUUGUGGAAGAACAGAUGGUCUGGGACAUGCCAGUGAUUAUAAAGCAUAUGAUGAUGAUAUAGGAUAAAGGAAGAGAGGAGUUAAUUAAAUAUGACACUGAUGUUUUUAUCCUGAACAAAUGGAAGGAAGGAAUUGCUGAAAUAGAGACGUCUCUGAAGAGCAGAAGCUGUUUUGAACAUUGCAGUUUGAAAUACCUAUUAGACCUCUGCUUGGAGAUCCCAAACAGUUCUAGGAUCUAAGCAAUGGGAAGAAAGAAGUUGGCUGAAGAAAUGAUGGAAAUUAAUUAUAUAAUUGAAGAAAAAGAAGUCAAGGCACUGAGAGCAUGUUCAGUUGGCAGAAAUUCCAUGACAGCAUCUACAAGGGCAUAUUGGAGAGAGUGAGGUCAUUUCAGAGAGGCUUCAGGAUGGAGUUGUGAUAAACGCAUGUGUUCAGUCUACAAUGUUUAACAGGGAGUGCCUCUUGAUUUUUUCAUGUGAAUUACUGAGGAGUAGGUAGUAGACUAUCUUGAUGCCCUUCCUCAUGUCCCUUUGACUCUGAGUUGACCUGCAGCUGCAGUGAACACUUCCUAAGGAUGCUGAUGUCUUCCCCUAUCAAGCACUUGCCUCAUUCUGCUUCUCCGAGGAUUUCCUCCAGUACACCAAGAGCUUGCCCGACACUCACAAGGUAUCCUGGAACUGCUGGGGACUGAAAACCCCUCAACCCAUGAAGAAUGAGGAUCAGUGGAUUAAUAGCAACUGUCCCAUACCUUGGUGGGACUAUUAUAAGGCAUUCUGGUUGGUUCCUCAGAGGUCCCAAAUGGGAUUGAACCAAAGUUGCCCACAGUAAAAACUCAUUCACCAACUCAAUUUUCAUUUCACCCCUCUCAAUUUGCACACUCACUCACUUGUUCUACCUGGGAUACUCUCCAAGAUAAACUCCUGUAUCCAAAGCUUUGUCUCAAGGUCUCAUUUGGGAGGAACUCAAACUAAGAUAAUAGGUACUGGAAGUGACUACAGAAAGUAUAUUAUCAAUGGUAUGGAGGCAACAAAAACCCCAUUAAUGGUGGUGAGUAAGGUGGUGACAAACCCUGGCACUUUGAAGAAUUUCAUUACCCACAAUUGACCCAUGGUGUACUUGGAUGAGGUAAAAAUGAAAGGAGACGCUAACCUUAUGCAAUAGUGCUAACUCCUGAAAGAUAUAGGGCUGUGAUAAUCACAGGAAUUGAAGAGUUGUCUUGUUCUUGUUAACUCCCCUAGAAGAAUUGGGAAAAAAGAAAGAUAGGUUUACAACAUCCAACUACCCAUUCAGAGCAUAGCAAUGAAAGCCAGAAGGUCUCCUUGGGAGAAUCUGAAGAGACCCCCAUUUCCUGCAACCAGAGGGCAGGCUGUUCUAAAAAAAUGACAUUCAGGGGUUCACUGCAAGAGGAAUUGAACUACAGAGCAGACUGAAGACACAGUCCAGGCAGGCCUCUCAUGCAAAAGUCAAAGCCCUAGAGGAAGGAAAUGGUCCUUAAAAACUACUGGGAUGCAGGCAGGCAUCUGGAUAGAUGUGCUAGAUAACCUUGAACCCCUAGAUUCCCUGAACAACCCAGGCUAGCAGGAGUAUCCUGCACCCUGUUACUUGAACAGAACAGCUUCCCUUUGCCUAGAGACUCUACACAGUCCUCCUCUGAAGCAGACACCUCCAAGAUUACUUCAAGGUCUGCUACUUCCUGCCCUCAUUGCCUCUAUUCCAAAAACUGGAAACAAGUCUCAGCAUGCCCUGAGCAGGGUAGCACAUUUCUUGCUGUGAGAGAUAUGACAGAUUGUAUUUUCUAAAGAAGGCUGCAACCAUGUCUCUCAUCCCAAAUGCUCUUCUACAAUGCAAUCUUGUCACUCCUCUACCAAGAGAUGAAACCUAAUUUCAAUGCCCUUGAAUCUAAGCUGGACUUUACUUGCUUUGACCUGUAAUGUACAGAAGUGACACUGUGUGAUUCUUACAGCUGAGUCAUAAAAGGUGAUGCAGCUUCUGCCUUGUUCCUGGGGACAUAUGCCUCUGUGAGAUUGAGCUACUAAAUAACAAGACCACCUACCUUGAGGCUGCCAUGCUGGAAGAAAGCAAAGCCACAUGAAGAGCAAGUAAGCUGGUUGCUUUAGCAAGAUCCUUCAUAUUGAUAGUGAAUGUGCACUUCUGUCUUUCUCUUGUGAAUGCAAACCACUUUUU
rnacentral:lncRNA from 1 species